GUGCGAACGAUGAAGCCCAGCUUGCUGGGUGGAUUAGUGGCGAACGGGUGAGUAACACGUGAGUAACCUGCCCUUGACUCUGGGAUAAGCCUGGGAAACUGGGUCUAAUACUGGAUAUGACUUCUCACCGCAUGGUGGGGGGUGGAAAGAUUUAUUGGUCUUGGAUGGACUCGCGGCCUAUCAGCUUGUUGGUGAGGUAAUGGCUCACCAAGGCGACGACGGGUAGCCGGCCUGAGAGGGUGACCGGCCACACUGGGACUGAGACACGGCCCAGACUCCUACGGGAGGCAGCAGUGGGGAAUAUUGCACAAUGGGCGCAAGCCUGAUGCAGCGACGCCGCGUGAGGGAUGACGGCCUUCGGGUUGUAAACCUCUUUCAGUAGGGAAGAAGCGAAAGUGACGGUACCUGCAGAAGAAGCGCCGGCUAACUACGUGCCAGCAGCCGCGGUAAUACGUAGGGCCGCGAGCGUUAUCCGGAAUUAUUGGGCGUAAAGAGCUCGUAGGCGGUUUGUCGCGUCUGCCGUGAAAGUCCGGGGCUUAACCCCGGAUCUGCGGUGGGUACGGGCAGACUAGAGUGCAGUAGGGGAGACUGGAAUUCCUGGUGUAGCGG
rnacentral:rRNA from 1 species